rnacentral:rRNA from 1 species
UACGGGGGGGGCAAGCGUUGUUCGGAAUUACUGGGCGUAAAGGGUUCGUAGGUGGCUCGCUAAGUCAGACGUGAAAUCCCUCAGCUUAACUGGGGAACUGCGUCUGAGACUGAUGAGCUCGAGUGCAGGAGAGGAACGCGGAAUUCCAGGUGUAGCGGUGAAAUGCGUAGAUAUCUGGAGGAACACCUGGCGAAGGCGGCGUCCUGGACCAACACUGACACUGAUGAGCGAAAGCCAGGGGAGCAAACGGG